rnacentral:rRNA from 1 species
AAACGAUGUCGACUUGGAGGUUGUGCCCUUGAGGCGUGGCUUCCGGAGCUAACGCGUUAAGUCGACCGCCUGGGGAGUACGGCCGCAAGGUUAAAACUCAAAUGAAUUGACGGGGGCCCGCACAAGCGGUGGAGCAUGUGGUUUAAUUCGAUGCAACGCGAAGAACCUUACCUGGUCUUGACAUCCACGGAAGUUUUCAGAGAUGAGAAUGUGCCUUCGGGAACCGUGAGACAGGUGCUGCAUGGCUGUCGUCAGCUCGUGUUGUGAAAUGUUGGGUUAAGUCCCGCAACGAGCGCAACCCUUAUCCUUUGUUGCCAGCGGUCCGGCCGGGAACUCAAAGGAGACUGCCAGUGAUAAACUGGAGGAAGGUGGGGAUGACGUCAAGUCAUCAUGGCCCUUACGACCAGGGCUACACACGUGCUACAAUGGCGCAUACAAAGAGAAGCGACCUCGCGAGAGCAAGCGGACCUCAUAAAGUGCGUCGUAGUCCGGAUUGGAGUCUGCAACUCGACUCCAUGAAGUCGGAAUCGCUAGUAAUCGUGGAUCAGAAUGCCACGGUGAAUACGUUCCCGGGCCUUGUACACACCGCCCGUCACACCAU